UACCAGCACCCCGAGUGGUCGGGACGUUUAUUGGGCCUAAAGCAUCCGUAGCCGGUUCUACAAGUCUUCCGUUAAAUCCACCUGCUUAACAGAUGGGCUGCGGAAGAUACUAUAGAGCUAGGAGGCGGGAGAGGCAAGCGGUACUCGAUGGGUAGGGGUAGAAUCCGUUGAUCCAUUGAAGACCACCAGUGGCGAAGGCGGCUUGCCAGAACGCGCUCGACGGUGAGGGAUGAAAGCUGGGGGAGCAAACCGG
rnacentral:rRNA from 1 species